AUGGACUUACUUCAUUCCAUUGUCCUGCUACUGACCCUCACUUCCUGGGUUCUUUCUCAGGUCACCCUGAAAGAAUCUGGUCCUGGGCUGCUGAAACCUAAUGAGGUUCUAUCGCUGACCUGCACCAUCUCUGGAUUCUCACUGAGCACUACUGAUAUUGGUGUUGGCUGGCUCCGUCAGCCUCAAGGAAAGGCACCUGAGUGGCUCUCCCACAUAUGGUGGGAUGAUGAUAAAAGAUAUGCACCAUCUCUGAAGAACCGGCUCACAAUUUCCAGAGACACCUCCAAAAGCCAAGUGUUCUUAACUAUGACCAACAUGAGCCCCAUAGACACAGCCAUGUACUAUUGUGCACGAGUACAAUACACAGAGACACAGCCUAGGAAUGGUAUCUUUAAUCUUCCCAAUCCUCCUAGGACACUUAUGUCUGCUCUGGCCUAUGGUCGCACAGAGUCAUGCUACUCCAUGUCUUGA